rnacentral:rRNA from 1 species
CCUACGGGAGGCAGCAGUAGGGAAUCUUCGGCAAUGGGGGCAACCCUGACCGAGCAACGCCGCGUGUGUGAUGAAGGCUUUCGGGUCGUAAAGCACUGUUGUAUGGGAAGAACAGCUAGAAUAGGAAAUGAUUUUAGUUUGACGGUACCAUACCAGAAAGGGACGGCUAAAUACGUGCCAGCAGCCGCGGUAAUACGUAUGUCCCGAGCGUUAUCCGGAUUUAUUGGGCGUAAAGCGAGCGCAGACGGUUUAUUAAAUCUGAUGUGAAAGCCCGGAGCUCAACUCCAGAAUGGCAGUGGAAACUGGUUAACUUGAGGGCAGUAGAGGUGAGUGGAACUCCAUGUGUAGCGGUGGAAUGCGUAGAUAUAUGGAAGAACACCAGUGGCGAAGGCGGCUUACUGGACUGCAACUGACGUUGAGGCUCGAAAGUGUGGGUAGCAAACAGGAUUAGAUACCCCAGUAGUC